CCUAUCGGGAGGCAGCAGUAGGGAAUUCUUACGGGGAGGCAGCAGUGGGGAAUAUUGCACAAUGGGGGAAACCCUGAUGCAGCGACGCCGCGUGAGCGAAGAAGUAUUUCGGUAUGUAAAGCUCUAUCAGCAGGGAAGAAAAUGACGGUACCUGACUAAGAAGCCCCGGCUAAAUACGUGCCAGCAGCCGCGGUAAUACGUAGGGGGCAAGCGUUAUCCGGAUUUACUGGGUGUAAAGGGAGCGUAGACGGCAGUGCAAGUCUGAAGUGAAAGCCCGGGGCUCAACCCCGGGACUGCUUUGGAAACUGUCCAGCUAGAGUGUCGGAGAGGAAAGUGGAAUUCCCAGUGUAGCGGUGAAAUGCGUAGAUAUUGGGAGGAACACCAGUGGCGAAGGCGGCUUUCUGGACGAUGACUGACGUUGAGGCUCGAAAGCGUGGGGAGCAAACAGGAUUAGAUACCCCUGGUAGUCCACCCCGUAAACGAUGAAUACCUAGGUGUCGGGGAGCAAAGCCCUUCGGUGCCGCAGCAAACGCAAUAAGUAUUCCCCCUGGAAGUACGUUCGCAAGAAUGAAACUCAAAGAAAUUUGACGGAGGUUGAACCUCAAAGGAAUUGACGGG
rnacentral:rRNA from 1 species